rnacentral:lncRNA from 1 species
CUCUAAGGUAAUUGGGUUCGCUGGGAAGCUGGAACAUGCAGGGUCAGUCACCAGGGCUGUCCUCCCCAAGCCUUCAGGAUGCUACAUUGUUCUAUCUUCCUGCCCCUGAGGUAAUACCAUUUUUCAUUGACCUUAUUUCCAGAUCUGGUUGGUUUCCAUUAAUCCUACUUUAGAUUUUGAGAUCAAACUGUAACCUUUUCCUCCUGUUUUCUUUCUCAUUGUAAAUAAUAAUAGCCUCUGACUAGCCUUGAAGUUUUUCAGAGAGCUUUAUUUAGGUGACUUUUGUUGAUCCUUAUAAUCUCCAUUUCAUGACUCUGGAAACUGAGGCCCAGAGAGGUUGACUAAUAAAUGUGGGAGGCAGGAGCCAAAAUGAUGUUGGUCUGUAAAGUAACUUAAGGACAAAAGUAACUUGAUCUGCUUAAGAGAAGGCCAUAUAAAAUCGGCAUUUUAAGUAGGGAGAGUUUUGUAGUUUUUAGAAACCUAAUUUUAUUCUCUUAAAAAAAAAAAACAAAAAACUGCACUAUCCCCCUUGUGGUUAGUUGUGUCCCCCUCCAGGUAUUUGUAGUGGGUAUAAUUCUGACUAGUGAAUAUUCUUUUGGAUCUGCUUUAAUAUCAUGUGAUUUCUUCCCAUAGUUCUUUAAAAAAAAUUUAGACUGAUUUUUUUUUUUUAGAGUUGUGAUUAUAAGCCAAAUGUUUGUGAAUUGUGCAGUCGAUUAUCGUAAAUUAAUUUUCACCAAUUUCAUUUUUAUUUGUUAGAGAACAAUAUUUUAAACUGGUAUUGGUGGUUUUAUCCUAAUCCUGUUUCUGCUGAAGUUACUGUCUUGGCCAGGUCCAUUAUUAUUAUUAUUGUCCAUUAUUAUCGUCUGUUAAUGUACUGUAUUAGUCACUGUAGUCCCACAGAUCACAGGUGAUCUGGUUUUGAUUUGCCACCAACCUCAAUGCUGCUAACCAUAGGUGCUCCAGAGUCCCAUGGGAUAGGUGUAAAGACCCUGUGCUUGGGUAUACCGUAAAGAUCGUAUUCCUUUUUCUCUGAAGGGAACACACACUCCUUAGUACUCUUAUGAGUGCUGUCUCUCUAGAGUGAGAUCAGAAUCCAUUUAUUCUUCUGAAAUUCCAUGGGUCCUUUCCUUAUGUGUCUCUGAUUCAAAGCCUCUUCUGGCCCCAUGAUCUGGUCUCGCCUCCCUUUAGAGCCCCAGACGGACUGCCCUGUUGGGGUCUCCCACAUGCUCUGCUUCCCUGAAAUUCAAUGUUUUCUUUAUGCCUUGUAACUAUUCCAGCCCCAGCUGAUGAGCUCCCCUGGCCCUUUGGUUUCUUCUGUCCCCUCAUUAUUUUCAUAUGAUGUUUUUAGAUAAAUAGGUUUUAUGUCUCAUCCUAUUUUUGUUAAAUCCCAGGAGAAGGCCAGGCGCUUUUUGCUUACUUGGCCACUUUGUGCCCUCUCUCCCCCUUCUCCGUAGCCCAGAAUUUGCUCAAGCUGUAUAUUUUCUCCUCUUUCAGCCCUUUCACUUCGGUGACUUUUCUUGGGCCUCAAGAAACAAAACUUGGUUUUAGCUCUAGCCUAGGUUGGUAAUUGUAGGAUAUAAAAGUUUUUAAAGAGACGCCUUCCAGUAAUUAUGGUAUAUUUUUAUUCUCUUUAAUAAGUAUUAUCAAUCAACCAACAUUUAUGUUCUCCCUACGCAGAGUUUAUAUAAUCAGUGGUCAGUGUGAAUAUUACUUUGGUUCUAUAAAAUUUGAUUACCUUCCCAUGUUUUUUUUUUUUUUUUUUUUCAUGAUUCUCAUUUCAAUGUUCUGUCAUGUUCCAGUUAUCAUGGCUUUGCUGCCAUUUCCCAGUGCUUAGCCGGGUGAAUUUCCAGGGCUUUGUUAUAGAUGAGUGUUUCUCAAACUUUUGUUCUCAGUAUCUUCAUGUUAAAAAACUAUCCAAGAUCUGUUCAAAGAGUUUUUGUUCAUAUGGAUUAUAUUUAUAGCUAUUUACUAUAUUAGAAAUAAAAAAAUAAUUUUGAAUUUGUAGAUCCUCUGAAAGGGUUUCAGAGACCCCAACAAUUCUUUGGACUACACUUUGAGGACCACUGUAGAUACUGCUGCCAUGCAUAGGCAAAUGAGUCCAGUAUUUCUUUAUAGGGUAGCCCUUGGAGUGGGAGCCCUGGGACGAAAAGGUCUAAGAAAUAAUGUCAUUUCUCAUUAUGCUAUCCCAUAUUUCAGUAAGAAUGAGAUCAGUUCUUAGCUGCCCCAGCAGGGUUACGAUGUGCCUCUCUUGCCAUGGCUCUACCAGCGAUGCUUUAUCGAUUCUAGUCAUAGAGUAUUUUAUCUGAAUUCUCUGCAUUUUUCUUAUAGGUCUUAACAUGUAAUUGUGAAUUUAUAGUUCUUGAAAACUUUUUUUAUGGUAAUUCAUUAGGUCAUUUCUUUUGCAAUUUGUUAUAUACAGUGAGAUAUAUCUAGUCUCAUUUUUCCUGCCUAUUAGAUCCUUUCCCUAGUAUUUUGAUAAUUUAAAUUAUCAUAGUUUUAUGCCUUUUGUUGAUGGGGAGUUAUUUAAUUUGAUUCACUGCUCAUUUCUUAUUUACAUCUUAUAUGUAUGCAUAUAUUACAGCUGUACCUAGAUGUGUACAUAUAUCUAAUACACCAUUUCUAGUUAUUGCAUAAGCUAUAUUGCUAUGUAAGCAGCAAAAUUCGAUGAAUGAUUUUGGGCCCUGGGUUUGACUGUCCAAUUUAAUUUUUAUUCCUCUAAAGCUGGUAGAGUUGACUGAAGGUCUAACACGUGUCUUGCCCAAAUACUUUAUAGAUUCUUCUGUUGUAAAUGGCCUUUCAAUCAAUUUCUUCUUCUUGGUGAUUUUAGUUAAAAAAUGCUAAGGACUGUUGACAGUUGGAUGGGCUACUUGGCUCCUGGUUUUUGCUACAGCUGGCUAGCACUACAUUUUCAUCAGGUGUGUCUUUGUCUCUUGUCUCCCCAUGUUUUAUUUCAUUCAUAUUUAUAACUUCUUAUGGUAUACGAAUGUUGCAUCAUUUGGAUGGUACAGUUUGUUCAGGCCAUUAUCCCAGUUGUCACAUGUGAUGGAUUUCUAGGAUUUUUGCCCUUGAAACUAAUACUGCUUCCCACAUGUCAUCUAUGCUGUCUUCUCCCUGUUAUGCCCUAGAAUGUAGCUUAAUGGAGAAAUACUGAAGUGAAAGAAUAUAAAUGCAGGAGUUGUUUAUUGUAUUCCACUUCACAGCUCCCCGACUGUCUCAGUGUGCCCAUUUGCCCCCAGCUCACUGGGCAUCCCAUGGUGGCUUUCUUAAUUUCUUAAUCUUUUCCAUUUCUUCCCUUAGUUUGAAUACUUUCCUGGAGUUAAUGGUUUCUAUUUUGACAUCUGCAUUGUUUCUAUCCUUUGGCACUUUGAAUAUUAUAAAUUUGGCCAUUUAAUUUGAGGCCAGGAUUUGCAAUCAUUUAUUUUGUCUCCUGUCCUGUUUGUUGAAUUAAGUAUUUCUCCCCAUGAGGAAAAUUAUUUUACAAAGGUUCCAUGGGAAUCACGUGUACAUCUGUAAUAUGUUGGAGUGUGUCGUAGGACCCCAUUUUGCCAAAUCCUGUAACCCACUUUUCCUGUCAUUCAGUAAUAAUGUCUGUUUCUCAGCACUUUGAUAAUGGAUUUGUUGUCUACUCUAACGUGCUUUUAGUUUCACUUGAGUUACUGCAGUGCUGCUCAGAAACUUUAUCUUCCCUUAGCUUCUCUUUCAUGUGGUUCAGAGCCUCCCAUUACUUUAUGGCUUUAGCCAGACUGGACUGGUAAAAGCUCCCCUAGAUGCUCUGCUUUCAGCCCUUUCCCUAGGCCUUGUGAUCUCCUCCGAACCCUCAGUUUGAGCCACCCCCUUCCCCUUUAGACUUCUCACAACACUUGAUUUCACCCUCCCUUGUAUUUCUCAAAUAAUGUUGGGUAGUCAUCUGUGUUAGUCUUCCUCUGAUCUGCAUUGAUCUGCUGGGUCUCAUCCUGGUUAUUCCAGGUCCUGCCUACUAUAGGGGGUUUGUCCCACUCCUGUUGUACAAUGAGACGCCCCCUGUACCUUUUUAUGUGAUUGGUAAUUUCAGAGCGUUAACAAAGUAAAAUAGAAAAAAGUUUCAUUUUAACUGGCGGUUUUUUCUUUAAUUAGCAGUGACAUUUCUCAUGAUUUUUAUUUGCAUUUAUUCUUUCAGAUUCAGUUUGGUUUCAUGGUUAUGUGUUCAUGGUACUUCUAUUUUUUAAUCUUUAUUUGUUCUUUUUCAUGGCACCACACGUCCCACGCAGGCUAGCAUGACUUACCUUGUCGUUGGUCUCCGAUUACUGGCAGGUGUAGUUUGAGAUUCUUGUAAUUGUAUUAGGACAUUGUGCUCAGGCUUUUGGUUUCCUGUCAGGGGGUUUGCCUAGUAGCUUAGUGUCCAGAGGAGAUUGUAAUUGUGUUCCUUUUGUUAUUUAAAAAAGCUUAUUCUGAGCUCUGUGGACUCAGCCCUGCAGCCUUCUCCCGGGCCCUUAGCCUCCAUUCUCUGUCAGUAGAAUUUUCCCCAAGCUCUGUGAAGUCCAGCUCAAAGAUGGCCUCUUUGUGGCCUUCCCUGAUCCGACAAUGACCUUUCUUUAGCCUCAAGUGUGAAGGUACUUGGUUUCAAGCUAGGAGCUACUUAAAGGCUGAUAAUUUUAGGAUAUAAAAUAUUUUCUUGUUAUGCGUACAACUAUUUACUUUUUUUAAUUAUUUGGUCUUAGUGCAUAUUUCUCUGUGAAUUGUGUUGAGGGGGAAAAUUAGGAAAAAAGGGAAAAACCAUGGGAGAGAGAAAACAAAAACAAAAGUGAACAUAACGUGUAGAUUUGCAUUCAGUCUCCUUAGUUCUUUUUCUGGAGACAGAUGGUAUUUUCUGUCCAAAGUCUAUUGGGGUUGACUUGAAUCAUUGAACCACUGAGAAGAACCAAGCCUUUCUUUUUCUUUUCUUUUCUUUUCUUUUUUUUUUUUUUUAUAUAGCUUUUUAUUUACAAGUUAUAUGUAUGGGUAAUUUUGCAACGCUGACAAUUGCCAAACUUUUCGUUCCAAUUUUUCCCCUCCUUCCUCCUAUCCCCUCCCCAGAUGGCAGGAUGACCGGUAGAUGUUAAAUAUAUUAAAGUAUAAAUUAGAUACACAAUAAGUAUACAUGACCAGACCGUUAUUUUGCUGUACAAAAAGAAUCGGACUCAGAAAUAGUGUACAAUUAGCCUGUGAAGGCAAUCCAAAAUGCAGGCAGGCAAAAAUAAGGUAUUGGGAAUUCAAUGUAAUGAACCAAGCUUUUCUUAGUUGAUCAUUAGAACAAUCUUGCUAUUACUGUGUCCAAUGUAUUCCUGGUUGUGCUUGUUUCUCUAAGCAUUGGUUCAUAUAAAUCUUUACAGGCCUUUCUAAAAUCAGCUUAUUCAUUAUUUUUUACACAAUAAUAUUCCAUUGCUUUCAUGUACCACAACUUGUUCAGCCAUUCCCCAAUUGAUGGGCAUCUAUUCCUUUUCCAAUUCUUUGCUAUCACAAAAAGAAUAGGUACAGUUUUGCAUGUGUGGGUCCUUUUCCCUCCUUUAUGAUUUCCUUAGAAUACAAACUCAAUAAUAGUAUUGCUGGGUCAAAGGGUAUACAGUUUUAUAGUUUAUAGUUCUUUAGGCAUAGUUCCUAUUGCUCUCCAGAAUGUUUGGAUCAUUUCACAAUUCCACCAACAAUGCAUCAGUGUCCCAGUUUUCCACAUCCCCUCCAACAUUUAUCAUCUUUUCCUAUCAUUGUAGCCAGUCUGAGAGAUGUGAGGUGGUAUGUCAGAGUUAUUUUAAUUUGCAUUUCUCUAAUCUAUAGUGAUUUAGAACAUUUUUUCAUAUAACUAUAAUGUGGCAUUAAUUUCAUUUUCUGAAAAUUGCCUGUUCGUGUCCUUUGACCAUUAUCAAUUGGGGAAUGACUUGUAAUCUUAUAAAUCUGACAAGAUUCUUUAUAUAUUUUAGAAAUGAGACCUUUAUCAAAAAUGCUGCCUGUAAAGAUUUUUCCCAGCAAAAAUCGGUACUUUCCUUUUAAUUUUGCUUCUGUUGGUUUUGUUUGCAAAAUUUAUUUGAUUUAUGUAUUUUUAUUUUAAUUUAUAAAUAUUUAUUUAUGAAUUGAUUCAUUUAUUUGCUGUAAUCAAAGUUGUCCAUUUUGCCUUUUAUAAUAUUUUCUAGUUCUUUGGUUAUAAAUUCCUCCCUUUUCCAAAGAUCUGAUAACUCAAGUGUCCCUUAUUUCCUGACUUGUUUACAGUAUCACCCUUUAAGCUCAAAUCAUGUAUCCAUUUUGACCUUAUUUUGGUAUGAGUGUGAGGUAUAGAUCUAUGCCAAGUCUCUGACAUUGGUUUCCAGUUUUCCCAGAAAUUUUUGUCAAAUACAGACUUCUUACUCCAGAAGUUGGAGUUGAGGGUUUAUCAAAUAUUAUAGGUCUUGCUUUAAAUGUGUCAUGCAUAUUUAAUCUAUUCCAUUGAUCCACCACUCUACUUCUUAGCCAGUACCAAAUGGUUCUGAUUACUGCUACUUUGUAAAGUUGUUUUAGGUCUGGUACUGCUAAACCAUGAUCCUUUGUAUUUUUUUUUUUCCAUUAAUUCCCCUGAUAUUCUUGAUCUUUUGUUCUUCCAGAUGAAUUUUAUUUUUUCUAGCUCUAUAAAAUAAUGUUUUGGUAGAUUGGUAUGGCACUGAACCGGUUCCAAUUGUUCAAAUCUGAUUUUAUUUAUGUGAGACGUGUUUUGCAACUGUGUUUAUAUAGCUCUGGAGUUUGUCUUGACACGUAGGAUCUCCCUCCCCCAAGUAUUUUAUUUCGUCUACAGUAAUUUUAAGUGGAAUUUCUCUAUCUCUUGCUGAUGAGUUUGGUCAGUAAUAUAUAGAAAUGCUGAUUUGUGUGGGUUUGUUUUAUAUCCUGCAACUUAGUAAAGCUGUGAAUUAUUUCCAGUAGGUUUGGGGAUGAUUUUCUAGGAUAAUACUUAUCAUCAUAUCUGCAAAAAGUAAUAGUUUUAUUUCCUCAUUGCUUCUUCUAGUUCCUCUCUUUUUCUUAUUGCUAAAACCAGUAUUUCUAGUACAAUGUUAAAUAAUAGUGGUGAUAAUGGGCAUUCUAGUUUCAUUCCUGAUCUUUUUGAGAAUGCAUCUAGUUUCUUUCCAUUACAAAUUAUACUUGCUGUAGGUUUUAGAUAGAUACUGCUUAUUGUUUUAAGGAAAGCUCCCUUUAUCCCUAUGCUCUCUAAUGUUUUUGAUAGGAGUGGGUGAUGUAUUUUGUCAAAACUUUUUCCAUUUCUAAUGAGAUUCUCAUGGUUUCCAUUGGUUUUGUUAUUGAUAUAGUCCAUUUUGGUAAUAGUUUGCCUGAUAUUGAACCAGCCCUGCUUUCCUGGUAUAAAACCCACUUGGUCUAGUAUAUUAUCCUGCUGAUAAGUUGCUGUAAUCUCUUUGUUAAUAUUUUAUUUAAAAUUUUUGCAUCAAUAUUCAUUAGGGAGAUUGGUCUGUAAUUUCCUGUUUUGGUUCUUUCUGAUUUAGGUAUUGGUGCCAUAUUUGUGUCAUAGAAGGAAUUUGGCAGGACUCCAUCUAUUUGGUUUUUUUUUAAUGUUUGGUAGAAUUCACUUGUGAAUCCAUCAGGCCCUAGAAAUUUUUUUUUAGGGAGUUGAUUAAUGACUUGUUCAAUUUCUUUUUCUGAAAUGGGACUUUGUAAUUUUUUUUCCUCUACUGUUAACCUAUAUAUAAAAUGAUUGGAAACAACUAACCCAGGCUUUUUAAAACUAUUAUUUAGGAUGACUUUUUUUCUCUCUAAAAAGCCAGAUCAGUUUGCCCUCUUUGUAAUUACCCAAACUAGAAACGCCAGGAGGAAAUUCAUAAAUGUUCCAAUCAAUAUAAAUAUUUAUUUUAAUUUUUUGCUUUACUAUUUUACAUUUUUUUCACAUAAAAAAAAAGGUACCAUAUAUUCAGAUUAUCAUCAUUUGCUUAGCUCUUCCUCAACUGUUGCAUUCCUUGAGCUUUUUUGUUAUAAAUAAUGCUGCUACAUUUUUUUAUAGUUGGGUCUUUUGUUCCCUUGAAAGGCAUAACCCCAUGGUGGGAUUCACUGUAUUAUGCAUAUAAGCAUGCAAUAUCAAUUUAUAAUAGCUCCAUCACUCACAAGGUGCCUCUUUUGCCCCACUUCAACCAACAUUACUGUCUUGUACAAUCUUUAUAUUUUUCAUUAGUUUUACUCUGUGUUAGUGAUUUGUGUUUUUAUACUUGCAUGUUUCUAACCUUUGACCUUUUAAAUUCCCCAAUCUUUACAUUUUCAUGCCAGCCUUUUACGAUGAAACCCAUUUAUUUUAUCUCUUAUAAACUGCUGUAUUUUAUGAUUAGCUCAGAAUUUUCCAUCCGAGUAUAACUAUGAUAGAGCAUUCUAUUGUGUCCUAUAUUGUAGGGUGAUAGUUUUAAAGUAAAUGCCAUGCAUUUGUAAGUCAUUGAGAGAUGGGUAUGAUUUCCCCCAUAUGCUAUUUGUUCCCCAAUUUUCCUAUGUAUUGAAUAACAGAUCCCUCUCUGUUCUUUAAGUGUGCUGAGCUACUCUUAUAUACAUUUGGUUCCACUUAGAAUGACUUACUAUUUCAUUGCUAUAAAUGUCUGUUACAUGGUUUUGAUUGUUUGGAAUAUAUUUUGAUUUCUAGUUGCAUAAAUUCCCCUUCUCCCUUAUAAUUACCUUUCUCGUUUUGUUAUAUAAAUUUUAUAAUCAAUAAAUAUAAUAGCUAAAUUUACACAGCACUUUUCAGGUUUGCAAAAAGCUAAACAUAAACCAAAAUCUUUGAAGAUAGGAGAGCUUGUUUACUUUUUGUGAAGAAGGGAAACGGCCUCACUGGUUAGAUGACUUGCUCGUGAUCCCCUAAUCAAUAACUGCCUGAGGUAGGAUUCAAACUCUGCUCUUGGUUUUCCAGUCUGAACCUCUGCUACCCAGCAGGAAUGGGUUGUGAAUGAGCCCAUUGGUGGUAAGUCCAUGUAAUAUCAAAUCAGAGGUAGUGCUGUAAUAAUGCAUGUUGUGUCCAUGUGGAGUUAUCUAAAAAUUGUCUGAUUCACUUCUCAAAUGUAUCUGUAUUAAACCCAAAUAUUUUAUUGAAAGUGUUAUUUCUACAGAUUUCUUUAAAUUAAAAAAAAAAGGAUUAUUAUAAAACUUUGAUUUUUAGAGUUUUAUCCUAUAUUUUGCUGAAACUGUUAUAAUCCAGAUUAGGUUUUUCUUUUGUUUUGAAAAUAUGGUGUAUAUUUUUCAUGGGCCACACUAAAGUCUCAUCUAGGCUUUGAUUUGCCCCAGUAUUAGAAUCUAUUAGAAUGCUCAGAAUUAUUGGAAUUGAAUUCCAGGAGGUAACCCUAAGAACCUGAUUACCCCUUUGUCAUACUGAAGUCCACUUAGGCUCUAGAAUUCUGUAUAUCGUUUCUGUAGCUGUGUAUCUGUUUGUCUCAAUAAUGUAGUUCAAAGCCUUCUCUUCCCCUUCCCCCCAAUAAUCUGAUGCCCUUUACAGCCCCAGCCACCCUGAACUCUGAUAGGUCUCAGUUGCUGAGCUUUUGUCCCCUGAAAAUUCCAUUCUUUUUUUUCUUGGAGCUUUGUAUGAAUUCCAGCAACUCCCUACUCUACCCCUUCAGAGCACACAACGAACUUCCCUCCUGGACUGGUCCCCGUCACUUGUAUUUCUCAGAUGAUGUUGUAUGUUGUUCUCAGCUUCAUUUGUUAGGCAAACUAUACUGCAGAAAUUGUCUAAGAUGGUGAUUUAGUAUAACACCAGAGCAGUGAUUCUUUGGGGCAGUUUUUUAUCUUGGAUGCUGACCUUGGCCAUGUGCGUUGUUUCCUUGUCUAAUCGAAUCUUUUUCUAAAUGGUAACUAUAAAUACUGUGUAAAUAUGUGUGGAUCAAUGGCCAGAUACUUCUGUGAAGAUCUGCUUGUUUUAGUCACAAAUCCUUCAGAAAUGUUUAAUGUUCUGUGUCAACCAUUUCUAUCGUCAUUACCUCAAGACAAUUUGAGGUGACGGUUAUAGAAGUCUUGAGUUACAGCCCUAUAUACAUAAGCCAAAAGUUCAAAGCCAGUUUGGAGUUUCUAUCCCUACUCUAAAUAAAAUAGACCGUCACUAAACUAAGGUUACUCAGUUCCUGCUAGGACUAUCCUCAGGUGGCAAGGGGGGGCCUUCUGGUGAUCGAUAUCCUAAUACUUGCCAUGUGGAUGAAAGGCCACUGGACUUGGAUCAGGGAAUAAGGAAGGCCCUUAGUUCCAAGGCACAUUUUUGUUCUGUUUGUCUCUUUAUCCCCAGUUCUUCAUUUUUCACGUUCUUUUGUGAAGGGAAAAGGUCUGCGCGAGGUCUUAAAUCCGAGUAAUAAUAUUUCUUAUUAUUUUUCCAUUGAAACAGAAAGGUUUCAUGAUAUGUAUCCGUCCAGAGACCGUAUAGAAAUGUUGAUUUUAUUUUUGUAUUUACAUUCCAUUUUCUAAAACUAAUUGUUUCGAUUAUACUCUAGUAACCCCUUGGUUCUCGUCAUAUGGCCGUGGCCCAUGAUAGUAGCAACUUGAUCUAAGCUUUCCCCCUUAACCUUCCUAAGCUCUCAGUGCAGAGUUCUUCAAGUAGGUGGUUAAUGAUUGUUGUUUUUAAAUUGAAUGCCUCGUGGAAAAGGUGGUGUCCUGGUAUGCUGGGAUAGUACUAACUAGCUUUGGUUUGUGACUCUGGUCAUUGAAGUUUUAUUUCAGUGCUGAUUUCAGAUAUUCUGUAUAAAUCCAUUAAGUGCAAUUUAACCAAGCAUAUGUGUGUGCAUUAUGCCUCAUGGAGACUAUUAGAGCCGUGUCUUGUAAUAUCGGAGAACUAGUGUUACACUUGUCUGAAAUGAUCCCAUUUUUCCUAGCAAUGCUCUGAAUACAAGAAGGAAGCAUCCAGUCACUGCUAAAAAUGCAGGAGCCCUUUUUCUCUGCACAGAUUAUGGAUAUUUGUUUCUUGAACCAUAUUCAGAGGCUCACAUACCUUCCUGCUGCCCCAACUGUGAUAACCUUUCUCCCAAGACUUUGUAGGACCAGAUUCUUACCUCCCGUGUAUUUUCCAUAAAAGUUUGGAAAUGUUGUCUCUCCCUGCAGCUCUCCCACUUCCUACCAUUCAGGGGGUAGUGACCUUUCUCAGACCUUCAGUGGUAACCCUUGAUUUAUAGCACCCUGAUAGAAUGGAUGGUUGGUCAUUUUAGGAUAAAAGAAAAAUCAUAACAUGAAUAGAUCUUGAGGAGUUUGAAAUUUUGUAUGUGUUCAUUGACUUGAAGUAUCCUAAUGGAGUCAGAGGCAUUGGCAGUGCUGCCGAUCUUGAUUGAAGGGUGUUACAUUGCUUUGAGAUCAUCGUGCCCAUUUUGCCACAGCUCAAAUGGCAAUUGAAUUAUCGUCUUAAACAAUAUUGGCCAAUUUGGCUGCAGUGUAUUAUGGCAGUUUUUCUAGUUUGCUUUUCUCUUAGUUGUAUUUCUUUUAAAAGCCAUCUGAGUAUAUCCUAAUCUUUUGGGAAAUCAUUACUUAUACGUAUUUUACACUCAUUCAAAUGUGUUAUAUACAAUGGUUAUAAAUAUUUUGGUUAAUGGAUUUUUUCCCCCAAGAAUACCUCCUCCCCAGCCCUAUGUAUUUGUUUGCCUUUUUCCCUUUGUUUUAUAAUUUGUCAGUAUAGUACCUCCUUUACAUGAUAUUGUAAGAUAUAAAAUGCAUUUUUGUAUAGUUUACUACUCAAAUAGUGCAAGAUUGCCUUUCUUAAUUCUUAAUGAUUUUAUAACUACAUUUAUAUUACCUCUCUAUUUGCAAUAUAUCUGGGUAAAUGAUAUGAAAGUUUAUUUUUCCCCUUUGAAAUAGAAUUUUCCUUCUGCCUUAGCUUUUGUAUUUAUCAAAUUGUAUAUUGUGUGCAAUAUAGUUUGUUGAUCUUUUCUGACAUAUACAAAUUUAUCUAAUAUUAGAUAAGUUUAUGGUAUUUUUGGAGUUAUAUAUAAAUCCAUCUCCCUACUUUCGUAUAAGUAGCUUUUAAAACUUGUCACAAAGUUUUUAUUUAAUCCUAUAAAGUAUUGAUCUUGAGACAUUGUGUAACACCAAAAAUCAAUAUAAUAACUGGGUCAGUUUUAAUCAUUUUUAGGAUACCUAACUGUAUCCAAAUUCUCAAAUUUCCUUAUUUCUCAAAAAAAAAUAACUGUAUCAUUGCAUCAACAGAACACUAAAGUCAAUGUCAUUUCUUCAAUUAUGUGGUUCAGCUUAGCAAUAGAUUAAGCAAUGUUUAGGUAAUUGGUUUCUCUUCCUUAUCUGACAUAGCAGUAAGUUCUAAGUCAGAGUUCUUUACAACCAAGUAAAAGGAAUCACAUUUACAUUAGUUAAAAUUAAAUGUUUUUUUAAAAAACAAGUAUUGAAAAAAAUUGCUCUUGAUUUAUAUAACACCUCCCCCCAAGAAACCAAGAAUUUUUUGCUGUCUUGGAUAGUUUGCUGUGACUUCCAUAAUUAUAUUCAGUGUGAAUAUGCAGGUGUGUAUAAAUAGAUACUUCUGGUAAUUCUGGCUCAGCUUUCUUCACGGUUCCUUCUUUCCUUAAGUCACUUCAUUUGGCACGAUUGUGUCACUUAUUUCCAGAUUUACCCUUGUCCCCCAUGAACCUUUCCUUGGAAUCAAUUAGAAAGCUCCUUAAAAGGGAGAAGUGCUUGUAUCUAGUUGCAUUUUUCUGAUGUAUAUGUGAGGUUCCAAUACAUUUGGCAAAGAUAUUCUCUUUUAUCCUGUUUCUUUUCUUGAUAAUUUUCACUCUGCUGCCUAUAACCUGUGUCUUGGUUGAAUACUUCAGAAUUGUGUAGUAAAGUUAAUUACAACAUUCCUCUAUCUCCUAAUAUUUAUUAUUUGGAUCAUUGACAUCAUUGGACUUUGUGGCAUAAUGUGGAAUAUCCCUUCCUUGGUGUUUUCCAUGAUCUUGAUUUUAUCUAAUACUAGUCUAUUCCAUCUGCAUUUCGUUUUAUAGUUCUUUAUCUGUUUGGUUCUGCAUUUCUAAUUUUUUGAUAUCAGAUACUUUUGAAAAAAUUUAAGGACACGUAAUCAAUGAUUUAUUUUCACCAAAUUCUAUGAAAGUGCAAGACAAAAAUCCUUUAAAUGGAUCUUUAAACUUUUCUUAAUUGCAGGGAGUUUUGUUUAAGAAAUAUACAUUAACGAGGUAAUGGCAUCAUGUUCUUUUCCAUGCCUUUCUGGUGUGGUUUGCUAUUUAUGUUCUUGUUGCCAACCAGUCCCCAAUUGUUGGGGACAAAUGGUUUUUCUAAGAAUAUUUUUGUACCAGGGAGAGCAAAUGUGGACCUUUCAGAGCCAGACUGAACCUAGGGCUUUCUGGCCCUAGGGACAAGAGUCUUGUCUGUUCCUCCCUUGUCCUUGGCUUCUUCCAACAUGGAAGCUAUGAACAAGUUUGUAGGAUUUUUGUCACAUUCAAAAAAAAAAGCCCGUGUUUCUCAAGUCCUUCCCAUUUGGGAUUCCAUAUAUUUUAACUGUCUUUGUCCUCCAAUAUGUAUAUAAAGUUAACAUCCUGGUGCUUAAGUUACAUUCUUCUUGCUAGAGGUUGAACAUUUUCAUGUGGCUAUUCUCUUGGAACUGCUUGUUCCCAUUUGUCUCUUGUGUUAGCAGCUCAUAAUACCACCAUAAGCUUCGAUGUCAGAAUUAUAUCCAAAAACGUUUGACAAAGAUUUUCCCUUAAUUUCUUGGUUUCCUUGUGCCUGUUGAAGAUACUUGUAAUCAUUGUGGUAGUGAUAUGAAAUUUAAUUCUUAGCUUUUAAAAAAAAUUGUAUUUGCCAUACUAAUUCACGUGGUGUGUUUUUAAUAUUUUUAUCCUCAGUAUUUGUGAUCCUGGAGUAGUUAAUACAUUUGAUGUGAACAGGUUUUUUUUGAACGAGAAUCAAUGUCUUUUUCUGAUUCAUAAUUAGUUCCAGAUAGUUUUUAGAAAUUUAGAAAUGUUGCCAUGCAAAUUUCCCUUUCUUUUUCCUUCCCAUAAUUUUCUUUGCUCUUCUGCAAAUUCAUUUUUACUUAUUAUUGUGAAAUAACCUAUUGGUGGUAUAUAAGUAAGCAAGUACUUACUUGCAAAUAGCAAACAAGUAGGUUUAAUAUAUUAGCUCCAUCUAGCCAUGCACAUUGAAUAUCUCAAGUUACUAAAUCUUUGCUCUUUAUCCACUGUACAAUUUAGCUGCCUCUAUGUAUUUUAGAUAGAGUUCUUCCUGGAAUUAGGAGGACAUGAGCUCAAAUUCCACCUCAUUUCACAAAUUGCUUAAUUCCCUUUGGAUCAAGAAUUAAUACUAGUUCAGGUUUUUUUUUUUAAGAUUACCAUUAAAUAUAAAUAUUUAAGUAAAUGCUUAAAAUACUUAGACUGAUCACAAAAUUAUCUUAAUAUUUUAAGUAUAAUUGCAUGUCUUGGUGGAUAAAUAUAACUGGCAAUAAUGACCAUCUAGGCAAAUAUAUUUCUUUUUUGUCUUUAAGUAUGAAAAUUUGGGAAUGACUUAUCUUGCUAUCUCGGUUUUAAUUUUUUUUUUUUAAAUUGCAUUUCUUGGUGUAAUAUGUUUCAGUGAAGCCAUUUGCUUUUGUAUCUUACUCCCUUCCCCUCCCAUAAUAUGCCCUUUAAAAUGCCCUACCAGCCCUUCCUCCUCCUUUCUUGCCAAGUGGAUGCUCCCUAUCCCUUCUAUCUGCUCAGCUCAUAACAUCGUGUUUAGACAGUAACAAAACUGUCCGUUUUGUUUCCAUGGUCCCUUUAUAUUCAUCAUUUUGUGUGGGACAAUCAGAUCCCUGAAGAUCCACAUCCACAUAGGCUGACUUUUUUGCCUCUGUUGUUGGACAGACAUGUGAGUUGUUUAGAGUUAAGUUUCCUCGUUAGUUGGUAAUAUUUUUAGUUCUAAUCAAUUGACGUGACAUUGUCUUGGAUAGAGAUUGUGGCUGUUUGUCCACAGAAGUAUUUGCUACAAAGAUUCCCCUUUAUACCCCCAUCUGUGGUUCAUUUUGUUGUAUGGUUAAAUAAUUGUCUAUUUGGAUACCAAGAAUUCUUUAGCUCUUGGAUAUUAUAGUUCAUUUUCUACUUUAACGCUUUAAAUCUUUGACAUAAUUGGAAUUGUGAUGUGUGAGAUGUGAAUCUAAAACGGCAUUACUAGAGUAAAAUAUAAUUUUCUGGUUAUUAAAAAUGAAAUAAUAUCUCCUUAAUAUGUUAACAUCUCGGGUUUAUCAGACUAUUAUCUAUCAUACACACUUUGGUUUUGACCUAUUAAAAAGCAAUAAUUGGUCUAUAAUUCUAGUUAAUAGUUUAUUUAGAUUUCCUUAUACAAAUCUUUCUUCCAAACACCGUCUUCCAAUUUUCUUUGAUACUAGCCCUACCUUUUCUUCUAAUUAUUAAGUAAUGAAUUGAAAUUAAAAUCUAAUGCAUUACCCAAUCAACUAAGGAACUGGGGUUAUUAUAUUGGCAUCUUGGCUGUAAUUUAUUGAUUUUUCUUUAACUUAUUUGUACAAAAAUGUUUGUAAUUUUUUAGGCUAUAUAUGUUUUAAUUGGUGAAUACUUUCCUUACUGCUCUGACCAUAUUCUCAAUGUUACCAAGACUAGGGAUGCAGCAGUUUUUGCCUGUAAUUUCCUCCCCAAAAGACCACCCCUCAUAGAGACGGCAGAAUCCAGCAAACACUGGGCCCUGGGCCACAUCCCCAGAUGUGUUGUAAGCAUGUGACCUCUGAUCCAAGGUGAGUGGUGGGUUUCAUCUCGGUUUUCCAUGCCGCGGCUCAGAAUGCCAUCGGUUUUUCUCGGGCGCCACUGGUAAACGGUUCUUGGGUUGGGGGAUCUGCGCUAUAUCAGUUCCUACAAGUUUCCAGACAGUUCUUGCAGGCCAAUAAUCUAAUCAUAGAUCCAAAGUGCUUAGUGUAGUUGUUGGAAACUAGAAAGGUUUUUAUGUAUGGUCCUUUUGUAACCUUUGCCUUUCUUGAAAUAUUAGUGAUUUAGAGCAUGAUUUUUUUUUUUUUUUUUUUUUUUUUUUUUUUUUUUUUUUGAUGACUUGGCUAUAAGGUCAUAUGCUUGGAUCACUUUGAGUAGGACUUUCAAACUAGUACAAAAUUCUCUUAGAUCUAAAUUAUACAGAAAUAUAGUUAUUUUCUGUUUUAAAAAAAAAAUCUUGGAAAUGAGACCUUUAUCAGAGAAACUUAAGGUGUUUAAUGGAAAAAACCAAAAUCUAUUCCCCCCUGGCAUUUCUAUAUUACCAUAUUUACAUACCAUUAUUACAUAUAAUAAUAUAUUUAUUUACAUAUAUUACCUUUAGCAAUUUGAUCCCAGGUCCUGUUUAUCACAGACUUUCUUCUACCCAUAGAUCUAAGGCAGAAAUCUCCCUUUCCUCUGAUUUGUCUGUCUGGCUCGUGUAUCCCUCUGAGGAGGGCCAUGGUGUGCAGUUUGCUCUGACUUUCCUUCUCCUGCUGUUGGCUGCUGUGACCCUUGGACCAGAACUUCCCCAGCCCCAACCCUGCUGCUGUGCUGGGGGUAGGUCUGGCCUGCAGGCUCCAACCUGGGCCGGCCUCUGUUCCCUCUGGGAGGUAAGACCGUGUUAACUUGGCCCAAAUCCUUCUGUUCACAUCUUUGAUCCUUGAGUUGUUGGCCCCGGCCCAUCGAUACCUGUAGCGGUUGCUUCUGUGUUUCGGAUGAGGACUUGCAGCCUCGCCGCCUGCUGUUCUGACUCUGAUAGUGAUUCCCUUAUGUCGAGCUCAUGUGGGACCUUCAGAGCGUGUGAUGUGAACUGCUGCUCCCACCCUGUUUUUCCCAUGAAUUGUUUUCCACGGUUCCAUGGUUUGGUGGACUUGGAAUUGUUCUCCCAGCUUCCUGUGGCCCGGUGGCCUAGAGGCUACUUCUGAUCAUUGCUUUGUAACAUAGCUUGAGCUCUAACAGAAGCCAAACCCCUGCGUUCCCAUUUGUUCCAUGAGUGUCCUUGACCUUUUGUUUCUCCAGAUGAAAUCUGUCUCUAGACUGACCCCUUUAGAGAAUGUUAUUUCACCUAAAAUCUCCCUGUUCUCCAAGUUCCCUAAACCCCCAGGGUCCUCCCUCUUCCUCCUUUCCUGUAACAAUCACCUUCCCCCCCAGAAAUCCUUUGUGCCCCGAGUGUUGACGCCCUCGUUUGGGGACUGGGGUUUGCCACAAACCUGAUUCUCCUUUGGGUAGAAAGUGAAUGAUUGGCCGUCCUUGCAUUUGGUAGAACGGCUUUCUUCCACACUUGACGGACACCAUGGAUGCCCAAGCACUCCCCGCCUGCCCCUACCCUCCCUGGCAGUCUGGGAGUGGGGGAUGGUGGCUGUCUGAAUCCCUUGGCUUUCUCAGUGCCCCCAGCCCCUCACCCACAUGGAAAGUCUUCCCUCCGGUACUCCUGGGUCUUUGGGAAGGAGGCCGGGAAGCCGGUCGUGGACCAUGAUGUCAAGGGAGUGAGAUGGGCCAGAGCUGGCCACUUCAUGUGCAAGCAGAUGGGAGACCCUCCUUCACCCUCUGGAAGCAAGUGAGCAGGAACCGCAGGGAAGCAGUGAGUGAGUGCCACAGGACGUGGGCCUGGGGGGAAGGGGCCUGUGGAUGACGUUGGAGGCAGUGGGGAGAGACCCAGGUUCAAAUCCUGCUCUGUGACUUGCUGUGGGGCCUUGGACGGGUCCCUCCACCGCCUUUUGUGUAAAGGGAGGAAGCUGGCUGUGGCCCCACAAGGGCUCUAUCAGGAAGGUGGCUGCUGUGGGCAGGACGUUCUUGGUUACUCGGUCUCCUUGGCCGGAUUUUUACCCUGUGGUCUUGGGUGGAGGAUGGGAUGAUGGAGGAUGGGGGAGGAAGAUGGCCGGCUGGGCCGGUGGCGGCUGCCAUCCCCAGAGAGACCCACUGUAUGGUGUAGUGGAGGAAAGCAUGGCUGUCCGGAGGGGGCGAGAGGGGUCUCUGCCAUAAGGAAGGUGUGCUCUGAACCCCAAAAGGCUGAGAAGCCCUUGUGAGCCCAGAGCGGGGGGGCAAUAAGGACACCUGUGGAGGAGCUAGGGCAACAUCCAGGACAGACCCAAGAGAGGAGGCAGAAGGAAGGUCAGCCCCGGGGGUUCCCCUCCCUCCAUUCCCUUCCUUCCUAGGGUUCAGCAAGAUUAAAUGGAAAAAGAGGAGCAGCUCAAGGCAGGCUUGGUAAGAGUUCCUUGGGAGCCUUGGAACGGGAGGGAUGGAGCAGCCGAAAGCCACAUCUAUGGGGAGGGGGGUGCCGGCCAAGGGCAAGGCCAGGCUCCAGAGGGCCCUAACCUUGACUCCUCUAGCAGCUCUGGAGGCCAGGCAGGAAGUCUCCUUUGUCCUCGGCUUGUCUUGUGAAUGACCUGCAGUAGAACCACCUCGUCAGUAGAGAACCAGCCUUGGGGAGCAGGACCAAGGGGAGCAGUGGAAAAAAGGAGGAAGGAAAGUGGAAGAGCAGGGAAAGGUCAGAUGAUGGAGAAAGAUGAAUUGUAGAAGGGAGAAGGUCAGUUGGAGAGAAGGGAGAUGAAUCGGCAGAGGGAGGUCUAAGAGCCUGUUCCUGGAGGCUGAAGGGAAGGAGGUUCCUCCUCCCUGGCAGUUCUGGGGGACAAUGGGGGGCAGCCCCGUCCGCGGGUGUUUCUUUUCCUGAGGCUGCUUUGCAGCCUCAGGUUUUGCUUUUCACCCUUAAAAUGUGUGUGUGAGAGAAGGUGCCAAAAAGCAA